rnacentral:misc_RNA from 1 species
GAUGAAGAACGUAGCGAAAUGCGAUAAGUAAUGUGAAUUGCAGAAUUCAGUGAAUCAUCGAAUCUUUGAACGCACCUUGCGCCCUUUGGCCAUUCCGAAGGGCAUGCCUGUUUGAGUAUCAUGAACACCUCAACUCUUUAUGGUUUUCCAUGAUGAGCUUGGACUCUGGGGGUUUUGCUGGCUCACAGUCGGCUCCUCUCAAAUGAAUCAGCUUGCCGGUUUUUGGUGGGCAUCACAGGUGUGAUAACUAUCUACGCUUGUGGUUUUCCACCAGGGUAACCUUCAGCAGUGGAGGUUCACUGGAGCUUACAAAUGUCUCUCCUCUGUGAGGACAGCCCUUUGAAUGUUUGAUCUCAAAUCAGGUAGGACUACCCGCUGAACUUAAGCAUAUCAAUAAGCGGAGGA